ACAGUAAAUGUGAACUAAAGCAUGAACACCACUAUCUUACAAAUGUGGCCAAAAAGAAGACUGUCCAAAGAUGCUCAAAUUCACACAGGCAUAGCGUCCUAAGCAGUAAUUUCAACUCAGUCAGCAGCGAGCUAUAAAGUGAUUUUGUCUCUCCGCAUUUAUUCGCAGCCCCAUUUUUUCUCGCUAUUUUAAAGUUAUUAUCUGUGAUUCCUUAAAAAUCGGAGCUUCCAGCACUUUCUCAAGGUGCUUUUUAACUUGUUAGCUGAAGCAUGCUUACAAAACCUAUUUUAUUAUCACACAGGUGAGGUGGGUUACUACCUGAUGUUAGAAUCAUGACUUUUCAAACUUGAUUUGUAAUAGCUGGAGGCAUUGUGACUUAUAUGUGACUCAGCUAAGUUCUAUCACCAUGAAGACUGUAAUCCAUCUACCACUGGACAGCUGGUUGCUACCCCAAGAACAGAAGCUCCAUAACUUAUAGGUGAUCCAUCUGGCAGAAUAGAAGAUUUCAUGAUAAAGAACUAUCAGGGAGCCAAAGCAGACUGGAGAUGACAGAAAGCUUUGCUGCCACAAAAGUAAUCAUCCUGUUGCUUGUCCUCCUCGGGCUGGCAGAGCCUGAAGGCAGCUGGUUUCACUAAGGUGCAAACACCAGCUGCUAUUUACAGGGGAAACAUGAGGUGCCCUGGAGAAGCCUUGGUACAAAUUCACCUUCCCACAGUUUGGCUGAUGCUGCAAAAACAGGAAGGGAAUGACUACAAUGCUAAAGUCACAGGACCCAGUGGGAGCAGAACACUGGAUAAGAGCUGGGCCUUUGAUAGGGGCAGCAAUACUAUAUGUGAUGUUAAGAUAAACUAAAAGCCUUCACGUCACGUAGAAGACAAAACCAACAGUUACAAGCUGCAUGUACAAGACUCACAGCUGGAUGCUAUACAUAUCAGUGCCUGGCAAAAGCAGUCAGAAGGAACCCUUUCACAUCUUGUACAGCAUCAACAAAAAAGAUAUUUCUUUGGCUCUAAGUGCUACAAUUAGGGGCUCCAGUUCCAAUGUCGGUACAUCACUGUGAACUUCAGGAAAUAAAAGUGUAAAAGUCA